GACGAACGCUGGCGGCAUGCCUAACACAUGCAAGUCUAGGGGUAGCAAUACCACUGGCGCACGGGUGAGUAACACGUGGGUUAUCUGCCCCCAUCACAGACAUAACCCCGGGAAACCGGGGCUAAUAUCUGAUGAGGUCGCGAGAUCAAAGCUUCGGCGGAUGGGGAUGAGCCUGCGGCUGAUUAGCUAGUUGGUGAGGUAAUGGCUCACCAAGGCGACGAUCAGUAGCUGGUCUGAGAGGACGAACAGCCACACUGGAACUGAGACACGGUCCAGACUCCUACGGGAGGCAGCAGUGAGGAAUAUUGGUCAAUGGGAGCAAUCCUGAACCAGCAAUGCCGCGUGUGGGAUGACAGGGCUUCGCCUUGUAAACCACUGUCGGACGGGACGAAAGGAGGCCUCGGGCCUCUGGGACGGUACCGUCAAAGGAAGGGUCGGCUAACUACGUGCCAGCAGCCGCGGUAAU
rnacentral:rRNA from 1 species